AUACGGAGGGUGCAAGCGUUACUCGGAAUCACUGGGCGUAAAGCGCGCGCAGGCGGUCUUUUAAGUUGGAUGUGAAAGCCUACGGCUCAACCGUAGAACUGCAUCCAAAACUAUUAGACUAGAGUGUGGGAGAGGAAGAUGGAAUUAGUUGUGUAGGGGUAAAAUCCGUAGAGAUAACUAGGAAUACCAAAAGCGAAGGCAAUCUUCUGGAACACUACUGACGCUGAGGCGCGAAAGCGUGGGGAGCAGACGGGAUUAGAAACCCCAGUAGUCC
rnacentral:rRNA from 1 species